rnacentral:rRNA from 1 species
GAAUUGCGAUAAGUAAUGUGAAUUGCAGAUUUUCAGUGAAUCAUCGAAUCUUUGAACGCACCUUGCGCUCCUUGGUAUUCCGAGGAGCAUACCUGUUUGAGUGUCAUUAUAAUUCUCAACCCAUGUCUCGUAACCGCGAGGCUUGGCUUGGAGUUGGGGGUUGCUGGCGGCGAAGGUCGUCAGCUCUCCUGAAACGUAUUAGCAAAGGGCAGCAAGCCUGUGACGUGGCACGGCCUUUUCGACGUGAUAACGAUCGUCGUGGGCUGGAAGCGGUCUGGGCAUGCAUGGAUUGUCUUGUUUGCUUCCGAAUUCACCUUUCCAACAUCAGACUUUUGGAGACCUCGAGCGAAGGAUCGGCUCAGUUAUUAGUUGGUCGCGAGGCCGACGAACGCAGACCAGGCCUGAGUUUGGAGUCUUUGUGGGUCUGGUCUUGGUUUUUGAAACAUUGACCUCAAAUCAGGUAGGACUACCCGCUGAACUUAA